GCGACUGCAGGCAGGGGAAGCGACAGGCAAGUUUCUCGCCUCUGCGGAGAAACUUGCACCUGCGUGCCGCCGCAGGGCCGGGUUCGGAUGUGCCCUGGCAUUGCACACGCACCACACCCCCCCGCGGGGAGGGUCCGCGCUGCCUCGAGGACCCUGUCUGUGCUGCCGGGAGAGAGAAAUCCUUUGGGAAGCUGGGCUGGAAACAGCAACUCUGUGAACUGCUCAGCUUUUCCUAGGUGACGAAGCUUAUGGAAAAAAAGACCAAAGGCCUCGAGGGAUGUUCUUCUUGACCCCCCGAGGCAAACGGAGGUGUCAGCGUCAGGAGCCAUCCUAACUGAGGCCCCGGUAGGCUCCCUCUUUCCCUUCGGUCGCCGUGGACACUGUGCCGGACGCCUCUGGCAGGACUAACCCCGGGUCUUUUAUGUCC